rnacentral:lncRNA from 1 species
AGCUUGGAUUGUGCGAGUUGUUGAUUAAAUAUAACACAAGAGAUCUAUCUUUUCUACGAUGUUAACACCAUUUAUGAAUCGUUUCCUAUCAAAUCAAUUUGAUGGUAAUACGGCAUGGGCACUUGUUCGAAUUUGGUUCACUCCUUUUCAUGAGGAGGCUGUGGGAUAUUAUUCGAGUUUUAGGAAACUCCUGGUCAAAACCACCGAUUGAUACUGAAACCUAAUAUCGGAAUUAAUGUACCAGAAAGGUUU